GGGUUGUGAGGUUAAGCGACUAAGCGUACACGGUGGAUGCCCUGGCAGUCAGAGGCGAUGAAGGACGUGCUAAUCUGCGAUAAGCGCCGGUAAGGUGAUAUGAACCGUUAUAACCGGCGAUUUCCGAAUGGGGAAACCCAGUGUGAUUCGUCACACUAUCAUUAACUGAAUCCAUAGGUUAAUGAGGCGAACCGGGGGAACUGAAACAUCUAAGUACCCCGAGGAAAAGAAAUCAACCGAGAUUCCCCCAGUAGCGGCGAGCGAACGGGGAGGAGCCCAGAGCCUGAAUCAGCAUGUGUGUUAGUGGAAGCGUCUGGAAAGGCGCGCGAUACAGGGUGACAGCCCCGUACACAAAAGCGCAUGUGCUGUGAGCUCGAUGAGUAGGGCGGGACACGUGGUAUCCUGUCUGAAUAUGGGGGGACCAUCCUCCAAGGCUAAAUACUCCUGACUGACCGAUAGUGAACCAGUACCGUGAGGGAAAGGCGAAAAGAACCCCGGCGAGGGGAGUGAAAAAGAACCUGAAACCGUGUACGUACAAGCAGUGGGAGCACCCUUUGGGGUGUGACUGCGUACCUUUUGUAUAAUGGGUCAGCGACUUAUAUUCUGUAGCAAGGUUAACCGUAUAGGGGAGCCGGAGGGAAACCGAGUCUUAAUUGGGCGUUAAGUUGCAGGGUAUAGACCCGAAACCCGGUGAUCUAGCCAUGGGCAGGUUGAAGGUUGGGUAACACUAACUGGAGGACCGAACCGACUAAUGUUGAAAAAUUAGCGGAUGACCUGUGGCUGGGGGUGAAAGGCCAAUCAAACCGGGAGAUAGCUGGUUCUCCCCGAAAGCUAUUUAGGUAGCGCCUCGUGAAUUCAUCUCCGGGGGUAGAGCACUGUUUCGGCUAGGGGGCCAUCCCGGCUUACCAACCCGAUGCAAACUGCGAAUACCGGAGAAUGUUAUCACGGGAGACACACGGCGGGUGCUAACGUCCGUCGUGAAGAGGGAAACAACCCAGACCGCCAGCUAAGGUCCCAAAGUCAUGGUUAAGUGGGAAACGAUGUGGGAAGGCCCAGACAGCCAGGAUGUUGGCUUAGAAGCAGCCAUCAUUUAAAGAAAGCGUAAUAGCUCACUGGUCGAGUCGGCCUGCGCGGAAGAUGUAACGGGGCUAAACCAUGCACCGAAGCUGCGGCAGCGACGCUUAUGCGUUGUUGGGUAGGGGAGCGUUCUGUAAGCCUGUGAAGGUGGCCUGUGAGGGUUGCUGGAGGUAUCAGAAGUGCGAAUGCUGACAUAAGUAACGAUAAAGCGGGUGAAAAGCCCGCUCGCCGGAAGACCAAGGGUUCCUGUCCAACGUUAAUCGGGGCAGGGUGAGUCGACCCCUAAGGCGAGGCCGAAAGGCGUAGUCGAUGGGAAACGGGUUAAUAUUCCCGUACUUGGUGUUACUGCGAAGGGGGACGGAGAAGGCUAUGUUGGCCGGGCGACGGUUGUCCCGGUUUAAGCGUGUAGGUGUGUGUUCCAGGUAAAUCCGGUUCACUUUAACACUGAGGCGUGACGACGAGGCACUACGGUGCUGAAGCAACAAAUGCCCUGCUUCCAGGAAAAGCCUCUAAGCAUCAGGUAACAUCAAAUCGUACCCCAAACCGACACAGGUGGUCAGGUAGAGAAUACCAAGGCGCUUGAGAGAACUCGGGUGAAGGAACUAGGCAAAAUGGUGCCGUAACUUCGGGAGAAGGCACGCUGACACGUAGGUGAAGUGAUUUACUCAUGGAGCUGAAGUCAGUCGAAGAUACCAGCUGGCUGCAACUGUUUAUUAAAAACACAGCACUGUGCAAACACGAAAGUGGACGUAUACGGUGUGACGCCUGCCCGGUGCCGGAAGGUUAAUUGAUGGGGUCAGCGCAAGCGAAGCUCCUGAUCGAAGCCCCGGUAAACGGCGGCCGUAACUAUAACGGUCCUAAGGUAGCGAAAUUCCUUGUCGGGUAAGUUCCGACCUGCACGAAUGGCGUAAUGAUGGCCAGGCUGUCUCCACCCGAGACUCAGUGAAAUUGAACUCGCUGUGAAGAUGCAGUGUACCCGCGGCAAGACGGAAAGACCCCGUGAACCUUUACUAUAGCUUGACACUGAACAUUGAGCCUUGAUGUGUAGGAUAGGUGGGAGGCUUUGAAGCGUGGACGCCAGUCUGCGUGGAGCCGACCUUGAAAUACCACCCUUUAAUGUUUGAUGUUCUAACGUGGACCCGUUACCCGGGUUGCGGACAGUGUCUGGUGGGUAGUUUGACUGGGGCGGUCUCCUCCUAAAGAGUAACGGAGGAGCACGAAGGUUGGCUAAUCCUGGUCGGACAUCAGGAGGUUAGUGCAAUGGCAUAAGCCAGCUUGACUGCGAGCGUGACGGCGCGAGCAGGUGCGAAAGCAGGUCAUAGUGAUCCGGUGGUUCUGAAUGGAAGGGCCAUCGCUCAACGGAUAAAAGGUACUCCGGGGAUAACAGGCUGAUACCGCCCAAGAGUUCAUAUCGACGGCGGUGUUUGGCACCUCGAUGUCGGCUCAUCACAUCCUGGGGCUGAAGUAGGUCCCAAGGGUAUGGCUGUUCGCCAUUUAAAGUGGUACGCGAGCUGGGUUUAGAACGUCGUGAGACAGUUCGGUCCCUAUCUGCCGUGGGCGCUGGAGAACUGAGGGGGGCUGCUCCUAGUACGAGAGGACCGGAGUGGACGCAUCACUGGUGUUCGGGUUGUCAUGCCAAUGGCACUGCCCGGUAGCUAAAUGCGGAAGAGAUAAGUGCUGAAAGCAUCUAAGCACGAAACUUGCCCCGAGAUGAGUUCUCCCUGAGACUUAGAGUCUCCUGAAGGAACGUUGAAGACGACGACGUUGAUAGGCCGGGUGUGUAAGCGCAGCGAUGCGUUGAGCUAACCGGUACUAAUGAACCGUGAGGCUUAACCUUACAACGCCGAAG
rnacentral:rRNA from 2 species